rnacentral:sRNA from 1 species
AGCCUUGCCUUCGCUGCCGUUGGGGCUGGAAGUUCUCGCCAGGUCCGUGCCGGGCGAGAGAGAUGCUGCCCGGCCGGCCUCGGCUUUGAGGCGAGAGAAGUGUCUCAGACCCAUUUCGCCUUGCUGACGGCGUCGAGCCCUGGCCAGACAUGUCCACAGUGUUCUCCUUCGGGUCCGGGACUCUGGGCUCCACCACCGUGGCCGCCGGCGGGACCAGCACAGGCGGCGGUUUCUCUUUCGGAACGGGAGCAUCUAGCAACCCUUCUGUGGGGCUCAAUUUUGGAAAUCUUGGAAGUACUUCAACUCCAGCAACUACAUCUGCUCCUUCAAGUGGUUUUGGAACCGGGCUCUUUGGAUCUAAACCUGCCACUGGGUUCACUCUAGGAGGAACAAAUACAGGUGAGGAGGAUCUGAUCACAUUGUCAGAGAGUAGGCUUGGGAUAUUCUUUCCUAAAUUGUGUCCUGUAUCUCUCUUUACAAGGAUCAUCACUGGUAGUAGACCUUAAAAAAUGGUAAAUGCUAAGAUGAAAAGAAAUGCAAGGAAUUGGAAUUAAGGGCUAGUGAUAGGCCCAAUCAUUGACUGUCAUC